CCGUGGUAGUUCUCUUCAGGCUUUGUCAUUCUAUAAUGAGUGAAGAAUGAGAGAUAAGACUUGGGCAGCGAGUUCAGUAUUGCAUCUUUCCCAAGCUACUCAUGCAAGGGAAAGCCGAGCUUGCUCAAUCGUUCCAUCAGCUCGAUCAUGUACAAUACAUGAUCAGUGAUAGAGGCAUCAUCCUGCAUUUUGGCAUUGAAGAUGGCACAACUAGUCUUGUGCCUCUCGACGUCAUCGGAUGUGCCAAAGGCAUCCUCCAACACUUGAAGCAUGUCCUUUGGCUGAGCCAUCUCGAAUCUGCGACUGAACUCAUCGCUCAUGGUAGCCAGCAUGAUACAGCACACCAUGGUCCGGUCACUGAGCCACUUCUGAUAAGUGUCUCUGACUGUUCCACGUGCAUUGACAGUUGGCUCCUCAGGUGCAGGAUCCAUUAUCACAUAUAGGAUCCGUUCAUGCUCCAGGACUAUCUUCAACUUUCGGUACUAGCUACCGAAGUUGGGUCCCACCAACUUAUCAUUAUCCAACAAUGAUCGGAGCGAUAGGAAAGUGGCCAUAUUUGCACAAAGGAGAACCAUAACCUAAUUAGUAAUUGAUUUAUUAAACCUAAAGAUUUGGACUUUAAUCAAA
rnacentral:lncRNA from 1 species